UAAUGACGCUCAUGCACGAAAAUGCGGGGAUCGAACAGGAUUAGAUACCCUGGUAGUCCGCACAGUAAACGAUGAAUACUUGCUUUCGGCGAUACAGUGUCGGAGGCAAAGCGAAAGCGAUAAGUAUUCCACCUGGGGAGUACGCCGGCAACGGUGAAACUCAAAGGAAUUGACGGGGGCCCGCACAAGCGGAGGAACAUGUGGUUUAAUUCGAUGCUACGCGAGGAACCUUACCCGGGCUUGAAAGUUAGCGACGGAGGCUGAAAGGCCUCUUCCCUUCGGGGCGCGAAACUAGGUGCUGCAUGGUUGUCGUCAGCUCGUGCCGUGAGGUGUCGGCUUAAGUGCCAUAACGAGCGCAACCCUUUUCUCCAGUUGCCAUCAUUCGGUUGGGGACUCUGGAGACACUGCCAUCGCAAGAUGCGAGGAAGGAUGGGAUGACGUCAAAUCAGCACGGCCCUUACGUCCGGGGCGACACACGUGUUACAAUGGGAAGGACAGAAAGCUGCGAAGUGGUGACACCGAGCGAAUCUCCAAACCUUCUCCCAGUUCGGAUCGGAGUCUGCAACCCGACUCCGUGAAGCUGGAUUCGCUAGUAAUCGC
rnacentral:rRNA from 1 species